AUACGUAGGGGGCGAGCGUUGUCCGGAAUGACUGGGCGUAAAGGGUGUGUAGGCGGCGGUGUAAGUCUGGAGUGAAAGUCCCGCAUUCAAUGUGGGAAUUGCUUUGGAUACUGCAGUGCUAGAGUGCGGAAGAGGUAAGUGGAAUUCCCAGUGUAGCGGUGAAAUGCGUAGAUAUUAGGAGGAACACCAGUGGCGAAGGCGGCUUUCUGGACUGCAACUGACACUGAGGCACGAAAGCGUGGGGAGCAAACAGGAUUAGAUACCCUGGUAGUCCACGCGGUAAACGAUGAUCACUAGGUGUUGGCACGCAUAGCGUGUCGGUGCCGCAGCAAACGCAAUAAGUGAUCCACCUGGGGAGUACGUUCGCAAGAAUGAAACUCAAAUGAAUCGGCGGGG
rnacentral:rRNA from 1 species